UGGGGGAAUUUUGGACAAUGGGCGAAAGCCUGAUCCAGCAAUGCCGCGUGUGUGAAGAAGGCCUUCGGGUUGUAAAGCACUUUUGUCCGGAAAGAAAUCCUCUGGGUUAAUACCUCGGGGGGAUGACGGUACCGGAAGAAUAAGCACCGGCUAACUACGUGCCAGCAGCCGCGGUAAUACGUAGGGUGCAAACGUUAAUCGGAAUUACUGGGCGUAAAGCGUGCGCAGGCGGUUUUGUAAGACGGAUGUGAAAUCCCCGGGCUUAACCUGGGAACUGCAUUCGUGACUGCAAGGCUAGAGUAUGGCAGAGGGGGGUUAGAAUUCCACGUGUAGCAGUGAAAUGCGUAGAGAUGUGGAGGAAUACCGGUGGCGAAGGCAGCCCCCUGGGCCAAUACUGACGCUCAUGCACGAAAGCGUGGGGGAGCAAACAGGAUUCAGAUACCCUGGUAGUCCACGCCCUAAACGAUGUCAACUAGUUGUUGGGGAUUCAUUCCUUAGUAACGUAGCUAACGCGUGAAGUUGACCGCCUGGGGGAGUACGGUCG
rnacentral:rRNA from 1 species